AGAGUUUGAUCCUGGCUCAGGAUAAACGCUGGCGGCGUGCUUAACACAUGCAAGUCGAACGAAGUUUUUUCUUUCGGGAGGAACUUAGUGGCGGACGGGUGAAGUAACGCGUGGGUAACCUGCCCUGUACAGGGGGACAACAGCUGGAAACGGCUGCUAAUACCGCAUAAGCCCUUAGCACUGCAUGGUGCAUAGGGAAAAGGAGCAAUCCGGUACAGGAUGGACCCGCGUCUGAUUAGCCAGUUGGCAGGGUAACGGCCUACCAAAGCGACGAUCAGUAGCCGAUCUGAGAGGAUGUACGGCCACAUUGGGACUGAGACACGGCCCAGACUCCUACGGGAGGCAGCAGUGGGGAAUAUUGCACAAUGGAGGAAACUCUGAUGCAGCGACGCCGCGUGAGUGAAGAAGUAUUUCGGUAUGUAAAGCUCUAUCAGCAGGGAAGAAAAUGACGGUACCUGACUAAGAAGCACCGGCUAAAUACGUGCCAGCAGCCGCGGUAAUACGUAUGGUGCAAGCGUUAUCCGGAUUUACUGGGUGUAAAGGGAGCGUAGGUGGCAAGGCAAGCCAGAAGUGAAAACCCGGGGCUCAACCGCGGGAUUGCUUUUGGAACUGUCAUGCUAGAGUGCAGGAGGGGUGAGCGGAAUUCCUAGUGUAGCGGUGAAAUGCGUAGAUAUUAGGAGGAACACCGGAGGCGAAGGCGGCUCACUGGACUGUAACUGACACUGAGGCUCGAAAGCGUGGGGAGCAAACAGGAUUAGAUACCCUGGUAGUCCACGCGGUAAACGAUGAAUACUAGAUGUCGGGUAGCAAAGCUACUCGGUGUCGUCGCAAACGCAAUAAGUAUUCCACCUGGGGAGUACGUUCGCAAGAAUGAAACUCAAAGGAAUUGAC
rnacentral:rRNA from 1 species